GUGUCAGCCGCCGCGGUAAUACGAAGGUCCCGAGCGUUGUUCGGAAUCACUGGGCGUAAAGGGAGCGUAGGCGGCGUGGUAAGUCAGAUGUGAAAUCCCGGGGCUCAACCCCGGAACUGCAUCCGAUACUGCCGUGCUAGAGGAUUGGAGAGGUAGCUGGAAUUCUUGGUGUAGCAGUGAAAUGCGUGGAUAUCAAGAGGAACACUCGUGGCGAAAGCGAGCUACUGGACAACUCCUGACGCUGAGGCUCGAAGGCCAGGGUAGCGAAAGGGAUUAGAUACCCCCGUAGUCC
rnacentral:rRNA from 1 species